CACUAUUUCUUUUUCAUCUGAAAAAUCAACAUGAAGAUUACCUAUUUUAUUGUAUUUGUGCUUGCCCUUUUCGCAACAGGAAUAUUCCAAGCAGAAGCAGGAAAUGUCCUCUCUAAACCAGUCACCGAAAAACCAGGCAAAGGAGGCAAAAAACACGGAGGCAAACAUUAAUAAAUAGCCUUAUUUUAAUAUGAGUUAUUAGUUUAUAUUAAUUCAUUUUAAAGUUUUACCUUACAAACACAAUAAAAAUGUAAUUAAAUUGAAAA